UACGUAGGGACCGAGCGUUGUCCGGAAUCAUUGGGCGUAAAGAGCGUGUAGGCGGCCACUUAAGUCCUGCGUGAAAUCUUGCGGCUCAACCGCAAGCGGUCGUGGGAAACUGGGUGGCUAGAGUGCGGGAGAGGAGAGUGGAAUUCCUGGUGUAGCGGUGGAAUGCGCAGAUAUCAGGAAGAACACCCGUGGCGAAGGCGGCUCUCUGGAACGCAACUGACGCUGAGAAGCGAAAGCAUGGGGAGCGAACAGG
rnacentral:rRNA from 1 species